CAGCAGACACAUUCCAGCCAAUCAGCAGCAGACCCUCCCAGACCCUCCCACCUCCUGGACAGCAUCCAUUUUACAUUCAUUGUGAAGCUGCAUUCUUAGUGAGCUGUCCAGGAGGUGGGAGGGUCUGGGAGGGAGGGUCUGCUGCUGAUUGGCUGGAAUGUGGCUGCU